rnacentral:rRNA from 1 species
UACGUAGGUGGCAAGCGUUAUCCGGAUUUACUGGGUGUAAAGGGCGUGUAGGCGGGGACGCAAGUCAGAUGUGAAAACCACGGGCUCAACCUGUGGCCUGCAUUUGAAACUGUGUUUCUUGAGUACUGGAGAGGCAGACGGAAUUCCUAGUGUAGCGGUGAAAUGCGUAGAUAUUAGGAGGAACACCAGUGGCGAAGGCGGUCUGCUGGACAACAACUGACGCUGAGGCGCGAAAGCGUGGGGAGCAAACAGG